CCUACGGGGGACAGCAGUGAGGAAUAUUGGUCAAUGGGCGCGAGCCUGAACCAGCCAAGUCGCGUGAGGGAAGACGGUCCUAUGGAUUGUAAACCUCUUUUGUCGGGGAGCAAAAGACGCCACGCGUGGCGUUCCGAGAGUACCCGAAGAAAAAGCAUCGGCUAACUCCGUGCCAGCAGCCGCGGUAAUACGGAGGAUGCGAGCGUUAUCCGGAUUUAUUGGGUUUAAAGGGUGCGCAGGCGGAAGAUCAAGUCAGCGGUAAAAUUGAGAGGCUCAACCUCUUCGAGCCGUUGAAACUGGUUGUCUAGAGUGAGUGAGAAGUAUGCGGAAGGCGUGGGGUAGCGGUGAAAUGCAUAGAUAUCGCGCAGAACUCCGAUUGCGAAGGCAGCAUACCGGCGCUCAACUGACGCUCAUGCACGAAAGUGUGGGUAUCGAACAGGAUUAGAUACCCUAGUAGUC
rnacentral:rRNA from 1 species